GACGAACGCUGGCGGCGUGCUUAACACAUGCAAGUCGAACGAAGUGGCGAACGGGUGAGUAACGCGUAAUCAAACUGCCCUUCAGAGGGGGACAACAGUUGGACACGACUGCUAAUACCGCAUACUGAAGGAGGGGAUUGCGUCUGAUUAGCUAGUGGGAGGGGUAACGGCCGACCAAGGCGAUGAUCAGUAGCCGGCCUGAGAGGAGGAACGGCCACAUUGGGACUGAGACACGGCCCAGACUCCGACGGGAGGCAGCAGUAGGGAAUCUUCCGCAAUGGACGAAAGUCUGACGGAGCAACGCCGCGUGAGUGAUGACGGGUUUCGGGUUGUAAAGCUCUGUUAAUCGGGACGCGGUACCUAACUAGAAAGCCACGGCUAACUACGUGCCAGCAGCCGCGGUAAUUC
rnacentral:rRNA from 1 species